GACGAACGCUGGCGGCGUACUUAACACAUGCAGGUCGAACGGGCCCGCUCUCUUUUUUGGGGGUGGGUUGAGUGGCGAACGGGUGAGUAUCACGUGAGUAACCUGCCCCCUGCUCCUGGAUAACUGCUUGAAAGGGCGGCUAAUACGGGGUGUGCCGGCUGGUCCGCAUGGGCCUGGUCGGGAUAGUUUCAUCUUCGGGUGUUUCGGUGGGGGAUGGGCUCGCGGCCUAUCAGCUUGCUGGUGGGGUGAUGGCCCACCAAGGCGGUGACGGGUAGCCGGCCUGAGAGGGUGGGCGGCCACACUGGGACUGAGACACGGCCCAGACUCCUGCGGGAGGCAGCAGUGGGGGGUAUUGCACAAUGGACGGAAGCCUGAUGCAGCGACGUCGCGUGAGGGAUGGAGGCCUUCGGGUUGUGAACCUCUUUCUCCGGUGGUGAAGGCCCUGUCCGUUGCGGCGGGGUUGACGGUAGCCGGGUAUGAAGCGCCGGCUAACUACGUG
rnacentral:rRNA from 1 species